UUUAUUUGAGAGUUUGAUCCUGGCUCAGGACGAACGCUGGCGGCGUGCCUAAUACAUGCAAGUUGAGCGCUGAAGGUUGGUACUUGUACCGACUGGAUGAGCAGCGAACGGGUGAGUAACGCGUGGGGAAU
rnacentral:rRNA from 1 species